rnacentral:lncRNA from 1 species
AGACACAUGGGUGUGACUGCUCAGUGCUUACCCUCUAGCCCCUCACCGAGAGAAAACAAAUGGAAACAAAAGUAAAGUAAAAGUGAAUGCAAAAAAAAUUCCUCAAUAUUCAGUAUGUUCUUCUACCUCUGUUUUUGGGGACACCAACUUGUAAGACACCUGGUCUGUCUCCUUGAGAAAGAAAACCUUGAGAACCUAACAGGCACUUGGUAGAACAGUGAAGUGAGAAAGUCAUGGAUUUGGAUCCCAGUCCCUCCAGUGUGCAUCAAUGAUCUUGGGAUACCACUCCAUGAAUUAUCUUAGGGACCUUCCUUGGGUAACAAAAAUCUACAAGAUACAGAACACUAACAUCUGCAAAAUUAGAAAAUUAUCCUAAUUAAGCGUGCUUGCUCAACAGCUUCACAAGUUUCUCAGUUGGAUCCCCCCAGAGAAACGCCUGAUGAAAGGACUUGGAGGCAGGUAGCGGUUUCCAAGUGAUCUCAGGAAGCACAGGU